GUUGAUACUUAGAUCUGUGUCAGACUGUAUUGUUGGCGAACACUAAGGCCUAUGUUAUCAGAGGACUUGCUAACAUGAAGAAAAUGUCCAGAGGUUCCAGAGCAGGGACUGUCAAAUAGUAAGAGACAAAUGAAAAGGAAGGAACUGUCUUUAAGCUGUGGAGUCAGACGGAGGGCUCACAUUUACCUCAAAAACAGCAUUGCAGUGGACUCUACUAGAACCAACUCAAGCACACAAUGCUGAUCAAGCUGGAAACAGUGGUGAAUACAUACUGUUGACCACCACCUUCACAUGUGGAUAGACCUACAGAGAUCUAGAAAAUGACCAAUAAAGGAGCUCAAGACUAACCAUCACCUUUAUUCAGGGUCCAACAAAAGUCUCAAAAGUUUAAACAAUAAGCUUUUGUGUGUCCUUUGUGUUCCCUGUCAUUUCAAACACAGCCUCACAAAUAUUAAGCCCCUUUUUCACUUAAUGGCUUUCCAUUCCACUGAGGUUCAGUCUAAAACAUCUGCUUGUGCUGGGCGGUAGAAAAAUGGAGUUGCACACCAUCUUGUGGGUGCUUGGGAGAAAUUAUGAAGUGUGUCUCGACUGUGGGUUGGCAAAGGCACUGGUGUUUGAAAGGACCAUUACAAAGUACUUCAAACAAGGUCAUUUCUUUCAAUAAUGCAGCAAUUGUUUGUUGUUUGUGUAUUUUGUAGCUGAGAUCAUUGUUUUACCCCUUUGAUUUCUGUAAUUACAAAACGGGGGGAGGGGGGAGGGGGGCACUGUCAGGUUUUUUAUUUAUUUUCUUCU